CAGUCGCCGCGGUAAUACGAAGGGGGCUAACGUUGUUCGGAAUUACUGGGCGUAAAGCGCACGUAGGCGGAUAUUUAAGUCAGGGGUGAAAUCCCGCAGCUCAACUGCGGAACUGCCUUUGAUACUGGGUAUCUUGAGUAUGGAAGAGGUUAGUGGAAUUGCGAGUGUAGAGGUGAAAUUCGUAGAUAUUCGCAGGAACACCAGUGGCGAAGGCGGCUAACUGGACCAUAACUGACGCUGAUGCACGAAAGCUAGGGGAGCAAACAGGAUUAGAUACCCGCGUAGUCCCUGUCUCUUAUAC
rnacentral:rRNA from 1 species